UACGGAGGGUGCAAGCGUUGUUCGGAAUCACUGGGCGUAAAGCGCGUGUAGGCGGCCUUUUAAGUCUGAUGUGAAAGCCCGGGGCUUACCCCCGGAAGUGCAUUGGAGACUGGGAGGCUAGAGUACCGGAGAGGAAGGUGGAAUUCCUGGUGUAGCGGUGAAAUGCGUAGAUAUCAGGAGGAACACCGGUGGCGAAGGCGGCCUUCUGGACGGCUACUGACGCUGAGACGCGAAAGCGUGGGGAGCAAACAGG
rnacentral:rRNA from 1 species